rnacentral:rRNA from 1 species
UUAAAUUGAAGAGUUUGAUCAUGGCUCAGAUUGAACGCUGGCGGCAGGCCUAACACAUGCAAGUCGAACGGUAACAGGAAGCAGCUUGCUGCUUUGCUGACGAGUGGCGGACGGGUGAGUAAUGUCUGGGAAACUGCCUGAUGGAGGGGGAUAACUACUGGAAACGGUGGCUAAUACCGCAUAACGUCGCAAGACCAAAGAGGGGGACCUUCGGGCCUCUUGCCAUCAGAUGUGCCCAGAUGGGAUUAGCUUGUUGGUGAGGUAACGGCUCACCAAGGCGACGAUCCCUAGCUGGUCUGAGAGGAUGACCAGCCACACUGGAACUGAGACACGGUCCAGACUCCUACGGGAGGCAGCAGUGGGGAAUAUUGCACAAUGGGCGCAAGCCUGAUGCAGCCAUGCCGCGUGUAUGAAGAAGGCCUUCGGGUUGUAAAGUACUUUCAGCGGGGAGGAAGGUGUUGUGGUUAAUAACCACAGCAAUUGACGUUACCCGCAGAAGAAGCACCGGCUAACUCCGUGCCAGCAGCCGCGGUAAUACGGAGGGUGCAAGCGUUAAUCGGAAUUACUGGGCGUAAAGCGCACGCAGGCGGUCUGUCAAGUCGGAUGUGAAAUCCCCGGGCUCAACCUGGGAACUGCAUUCGAAACUGGCAGGCUUGAGUCUUGUAGAGGGGGGUAGAAUUCCAGGUGUAGCGGUGAAAUGCGUAGAGAUCUGGAGGAAUACCGGUGGCGAAGGCGGCCCCCUGGACAAAGACUGACGCUCAGGUGCGAAAGCGUGGGGAGCAAACAGGAUUAGAUACCCUGGUAGUCCAUGCCGUAAACGAUGUCUACUUGGAGGUUGUGCCCUUGAGGCGUGGCUUCCGGAGCUAACGCGUUAAGUAGACCGCCUGGGGAGUACGGCCGCAAGGUUAAAACUCAAAUGAAUUGACGGGGGCCCGCACAAGCGGUGGAGCAUGUGGUUUAAUUCGAUGCAACGCGAAGAACCUUACCUGGUCUUGACAUCCACAGAACUUUCCAGAGAUGGAUUGGUGCCUUCGGGAACUGUGAGACAGGUGCUGCAUGGCUGUCGUCAGCUCGUGUUGUGAAAUGUUGGGUUAAGUCCCGCAACGAGCGCAACCCUUAUCCUUUGUUGCCAGCGAUUAGGUCGGGAACUCAAAGGAGACUGCCAGUGAUAAACUGGAGGAAGGUGGGGAUGACGUCAAGUCAUCAUGGCCCUUACGACCAGGGCUACACACGUGCUACAAUGGCGCAUACAAAGAGAAGCGACCUCGCGAGAGCAAGCGGACCUCAUAAAGUGCGUCGUAGUCCGGAUUGGAGUCUGCAACUCGACUCCAUGAAGUCGGAAUCGCUAGUAAUCGUGGAUCAGAAUGCCACGGUGAAUACGUUCCCGGGCCUUGUACACACCGCCCGUCACACCAUGGGAGUGGGUUGCAAAAGAAGUAGGUAGCUUAACCUUCGGGAGGGCGCUUACCACUUUGUGAUUCAUGACUGGGGUGAAGUCGUAACAAGGUAACCGUAGGGGAACCUGCGGUUGGAUCACCUCCUUACCUGAAAGAA